AUUGAACGCUGGCGGCAGGCCUAACACAUGCAAGUCGAACGAGUGGCGGACGGGUGAGUAAUGUCUGGGAAACUGCCUGAUGGAGGGGGAUAACUACUGGAAACGGUAGCUAAUACCGCAUACCAUCGGAUGUGCCCAGAUGGGAUUCGCUAGUAGGUGGGGGAAAGGCUCACCUAGGCGACGAUCCCUAGCUGGUCUGAGAGGAUGAAACGCGAAACUGGAACUGAGACAGGGUCCAGACUCCUACGGGAGGCAGUAGGGGGUAAUAUGGCACAAUGGGCGCAAGCCUGAUGCAGACAUGCCGCGUGUAUGAAGAAGGCCUUCGGGUUGUAAAGUACUUUCAGCGGGGAGGCGUUACUCGCAGAAGAAGCACCGGCUAACUCCGUGCCAGCAGCCGCGGUAAUAC
rnacentral:rRNA from 1 species